rnacentral:rRNA from 1 species
GUGGGGAAUCUUCCGCAAUGGACGAAAGUCUGACGGAGCAACGCCGCGUGAGUGAAGAAGGUUUUCGGAUCGUAAAGCUCUUUCGUUAGGGACGAACGUGCUCUUUGUGAAUAAUGAGGAGUAAUGACGGUACCUAAAUAAGAAGCCACGGCUAACUACGUGCCAGCAGCCGCGGUAAUACGUAGGUGGCAAGCGUUGUCCGGAAUUACUGGGCGUAAAGGGCGCGUAGGCGGUCAUUUAAGUCAGCUGUGAAAUGGUGCGGCUUAACCGCAUCAUGCGGUUGAAACUGGAUGACUGGAGUGCUGGAGAGGCAAGUGGAAUUCCCAGUGUAGCGGUGAAAUGCGUAGAUAUUGGGAAGAACACCGGUGGCGAAGGCGACUUUCUGGACGAUGUCUGACGCUGAGGCGCGAAAGCUAGGGGAGCGAACGGGAUUAGAAACCCGUGUAGUCC